CUGGCGUCGGACAGUGGCGAGAUGGACAGCGCCCUCUUCCUGCUGAGUCUGGGCGUCAGUCUGGGGCUGGAGAACCGGGACACUGGACACACAGCCACAAAGGAAACUCAAGAAGAAGAAGCUGCCGCUCACCUUGUGACGUCACCACUUGCCGCUCCCGUCCUGGAUCGUCUCUGUCGUCGUGUUUCAUACGCAGCAGCCCUGACCUCUGACCCCCAGACCAGCCUGACUCCUCCCUGUGAUGAAGGU